rnacentral:rRNA from 1 species
GACAGAGGGGGCAAGCGUUGCUCGGAAUUACUGGGCGUAAAGGGCGCGUAGGCGGGAUGGCAAGUCGGUCGUGAAAUCCCUCGGCUCAACCGAGGAACGUCGAUCGAUACUGCUGUUCUUGAGGAUUGCAGAGGAGACUGGAAUUCCCGGUGUAGCGGUGAAAUGUGUAGAGAUCGGGAGGAACACCGGUGGCGAAGGCGGGUCUCUGGGCAAUUCCUGACGCUGAGGCGCGAAGGCGUGGGGAGCAAACAGG